GCAGUCGUGGCCGAGUGGUUAAGGCGAUGGACUCGAAAUCCAUUGGGGUUUCCCCGCACGGGUUCGAAUCCUGUCGGCUGCG
rnacentral:tRNA from 1 species